rnacentral:rRNA from 1 species
AGUGAACGCUGGCGGUAGACCUAACACAUGCAAGUCGAACGGCAGCACAGAGGAGCUUGCUCCUUGGGUGGCGAGUGGCGGACGGGUGAGGAAUACAUCGGAAUCUACUCUGCCGUGGGGGGUAACGUAGGGAAACUUACGCUAAUACCGCAUACGACCUACGGGUGAAAGCAGGGGAUCUUCGGACCUUGCGCGAUUGAAUGAGCCGAUGUCGGAUUAGCUAGUUGGCGGGGUAAAGGCCCACCAAGGCGACGAUCCGUAGCUGGUCUGAGAGGAUGAUCAGCCACACUGGAACUGAGACACGGUCCAGACUCCUACGGGAGGCAGCAGUGGGGAAUAUUGGACAAUGGGCGCAAGCCUGAUCCAGCCAUACCGCGUGGGUGAAGAAGGCCUUCGGGUUGUAAAGCCCUUUUGUUGGGAAAGAAAUCCAUCUGGUUAAUACCCGGGUGGGAUGACGGUACCCAAAGAAUAAGCACCGGCUAACUUCGUGCCAGCCGCCGCCGUAA